rnacentral:rRNA from 1 species
CCGGUAUCAGGCACAACUUUUCCGCCCAUAACACCUAGCCUCGCCACACCCACAAGGGAAUUCAGCAGUGAUAAACAUUGAGCAUAAGCGAUAGCUUGACUCAGUUAAAUUAAACAGACCCGGCCAAUCUGGUGCCAGCCGCCGCGGUUACACCACUGUGGCUCAAAUUGACUUCUUUCGGCGUAAAGCGUGCUUAAAGCCUAAAAUCUCUUGGAAUUAAACUGAAACUAAGCUGUGACACGCUUGUUACUCAAGAAAACCAAAAACGAAAGUUAUUCCAAUUUUUUCAACUUGAAUUCACGACAACUAGGAAACAAACUGGGAUUAGAUACCCCACUAUGCCUAGUCGUAAACUUUAAUCUACUCCCACAUCGCCCGGGAACUACGAGCUAAGCUUAAAACCCAAAGGACUUGACGGUACCCCAUAUCCCCCUAGAGGAGCCUGUCCUAUAAUCGAUAACCCCCGUUUAACCUCACCAUUUUUUGCCAGUCAGCCUGUAUACCUCCGUCGUCAGCUUACCACGUGAGCGUCAGUGAGCCUAAUGUUUCUCCAACUACACGUCAGGUCAAGGUGCAACAUAUAAAAUGGGAAGAGAUGGGCUACACUUUCUACCAUAGAAUAAACGAAAGACUAA